CUUGAUCCCCAAACCAAAACGAGAAUCAGAUAUGGAGGGGAAAACUAUUCUUCUUUGCCUUAUGGUACUUGUGCUGCUAGGAAAUUCAAGCCAUGCUAGGAAUUGCCAUACCUAUCGUGCUUUCUGGGAACCUUUUAUUUGCUUUCCUGUUACUUGCCAGGCAACAUGCGAGCAGAAGUGGCGGAAUCUCCUUGAUCAUUCGUAUUGUCAUGCUGAUAACAUUUUGGUACACACACUUUUUCUCUGUAGCAUUCCAAAGAAAUUAACAUUCAACAACUUCAGUCAUGGGGGCUAGCUAAAUAAUCAUUCAAAUCCCACUGAUAAAAGGCAUCAGAUCCAGGUAAUUAAUCAAGGAGACAAGUAGACUGUCAAAAAUUAGCACUUGGUAAUUGUAAUUUGCAAUGAUAUGUUACCAACUACCUCCAUUCCUAAAUAUAACUGCCCCAACGUCUUAUAACAAUGGAGGUAAGCAU